rnacentral:lncRNA from 1 species
GCAGGCCCUAACCACACAUGCAGACCCCUCCUUACCCGCUGCACCUCACACUCCCGCUGCUCAGCAUGAGGGACGCCUAGGGCAGGCUUGGCAGGAAGGUGAGGCCUGGGACUGGUGAGGCUGGGGCAAGGGUUUAGCGGGAAGUUGAGCCCUGGGGUUGGUGAGGCUGGAGCGGGCUUGCCGGAAGGUGAGGCCUAGCAUGAGCUUGGCGGGAAGGUGAGGCCUGGGGUUAGCGAGGCCGGCACGUGCUCAUGCCUCAACUGCCCAGGGGAGGAGGCCGAGGUCAUGGUAGGAGGCACCUCACCUGCUGAGGACAGAGACAAAGCAGCUCUCUCUGCUGGACAUAAAGCAUGGCCGACUGCCAUGCUCUGGUCAGCAGGCGGAAGGAUCCAGAGAGCAGGGUGUGCAGCCUAAACUCUGUGUGCCUCAACCACAGAACUACAGUACCCAGAAACGUCAGCGUGUCACCACCACCCAUCAUGGUUCAUCAUGGUAACCUCCCUAGGACACCUCUUUGCCCAUGACUGUGGUACCAGGAAGGCGCCCGGAAGGAUCAAAGUACUUGUUGUAGUCAGUGGUUUGCAAAGGAAUAGAUUUAAUGCAGGGCACACAUAAUUUAUAGGAUUAUUGUAUAAUAUUCACCCCAAAAGUCAAAUGCAGAAGAGUGCAAGAGAUCUGUCCAUGUGCUGGAAACCUAAAGAAUCCAGCCAAGUCUUGGAGCCUGCAAAGUCCAGCCAAAGGCCUAGAGCACACAGAAAUGUCCUUCAUGAGUCCACAUCAAGGAUCUGCACUGGGAAGCCCCGAAGGCCAGUGAUGGAUUUUAGAAAGUCUGUGCUGGCGAGGUAAAGGAUCUGUGUCAGAAGGCUAAGGGAUUCACACUGAAGCCAGGAAGCGACAUUCAAGGUGAAGACCAGAGCUCCCCUGAAGAGAACAGCAGCCAUCCCCAGUGACAGCGAGGACCACAACUGCUUCUCCAACAAAAACAGCCAAGUUUCUAUCAGGAAAACCAGCCACAGCAAGCUUCUCUAGGAAAAUAAACAUCAUGCAUCUUCCCCUUCUAUUCUCCUUUUGUACCGUUGGCAACACUCCUCAGGUGGGUCUUCCAUGCUCAGAACCACACUGACUCAGUUCAGCUGGGCAUUCCACUUAAACUGACCAUUAGUCAAUCCACCACAGUAACCAAACGCCUCUGCAUGCACACGCCUGUACUGCAGUAGCUCUAAGUAUCGCUGUGACACACACACCCCUUCCAGGAUACCAGACAAUUGCACAUCUGGGACUGCAGUACCCAGAACCACCCCUCCCACAACAACAACAACAAUAACAACAACAACAACAACAGGACCCAGAAUCCUCUGGGUGCUCUGCAAGAACUAGGUACCCAGAAUGAUUCCCAAGGACUCUGCUACCCAGAAUCCUCAGUGUAACCCAUACAAGUACUGCAAUACCCAGAAGCCUCAGCGUGUCCCUUCUGAAGAAAUAUGAUACCUAGAACCUUCCAGAGCCCACAAGAUUUCAGAACACAAAAUCUUCAGUGUACCUCCUUAAGGAAAAAGGUAUCCUGGAUCUUUGGCAGGUUUCUUCAUGAACUAAUGUACCCAGAUUCCAUACUGAGACAUGCCCCAGGACUAAAGUACGUAAAAUCCUUGGUGUGUUUUCAGCCCCCCCAAAAAUGGAAUACAAUAUCCUGAAUCCUCAGCGUGCCCCUAUGGGAUUACAAUAUCCAGAACUUUUGGCAUGACCCGUCCCCAGGACUACAUUACCCAGAAUCCUUGGUGUGGCCCAUGACUACAGUAAACAGGAUCCUUAGCCAGUCCCUGCAGAUUCAUUGCCCAGGGUCUAAUGAUGGCCCUCCGCUAGUGUUUAGAAUACACCUGGCCCUCAGUGAGAUACGCUAGGGAGUCUAAGAUUCCUUGGUCCAGUGGGCCAGUCCUUUUCUAGGCCCUGGUUUCUAUAUUUUUAGGAGUGUUAUGGAUACAUUGAGAACAUUUGCCAUUUCUGUGCUGCAGAUAAAAAAUUUCUCCGGUGUCUUUGGAUUUUGUUUUUGUUUUUGUUUGUUGCUUGGUGCUGGGGAUGGAACUCAGAACCUUGCGCUUGCCAGACAGG